rnacentral:rRNA from 1 species
AGAACGAACGCUGGCGGCAGGCUUAACACAUGCAAGUCGAACGGUUGUAGCAAUACAGCAGUGGCAGACGGGUGAGUAACACGUGGGAACCUUCCUAGGGGUACGGAACAACUCAGGGAAACUUGAGCUGAUACCGUAUACGUCCGUGAGGAGAAAGUUUUAACGCCCCUAGACGGGCCCGCGUAGGAUUAGGUAGUUGGUGAGGUAACGGCUCACCAAGCCUACGAUCCUUAGCUGAUCUGAGAGGAUGAUCAGCCACACUGGGACUGAGACACGGCCCAGACUCCUACGGGAGGCAGCAGUGGGGAAUCUUGGACAAUGGGCGCAAGCCUGAUCCAGCCAUGCCGCGUGAGUGAAGAAGGCCUUCGGGUGUAAAGCUCUUUUACCAGGGACGAUAACGACGGUACCUGGAGAAUAAGCCCCGGCAAACUUCGUGCCAGCAGCCGC